AUUGAACGCUGGCGGCAGGCUUAACACAUGCAAGUCGAGCGAGAGGCGGACGGGUGAGUAAUGUAUGUGCAACUGCCUGAUGGAGGGGGUUAACUACUGGAAACGGUAGCUAAACCCGCCUACCAUCAGAUGUGCCCAGAUGGGAUGAGCUAGGAGGUGGGGUAAUGGCUCACCUAGGCGACGAUCCCUAGCUGGUCUGAGAGGAUGAACAGCCACACUGGAACUGAGACACGGUCCAGACUCCUACGGGAGGCAGCAGUGGGGAAUAUUGGACAAUGGGCGCAAGCCUGAUGCAGCCAUGCCGCGUGUGUGAAGAAGGCCUGCGGGUUGUAAAGCACUUUCAGCUGGGAGGCGUUACUCACAGAAGAAGCACCGGCUAACUCCGUGCCAGCAGCCGCGGUAAUUC
rnacentral:rRNA from 1 species